GCCAGUGUUGCUGAGCGGCCAAAAGCAACUGACUGUAAAUCAGUUCCCUCUGGGUUCGGGAGUUCGAAUCUCUCCGCUGGCA
rnacentral:tRNA from 1 species